AGCAUCCACACUGUUGCAAGCUAGGAGGCUAAAAUUCAGCAUAAGCCGUUCAAGGUCACAAGCCGUGUGACCUUCACCGUUCAGAAUCACCCCUCCUGCAGCCGACACUACUAACCGGCCCCUUGGUGAACAUCCUGAAGGACCCCACAGACAAAACCCACCGCAGGCCGCUGGGAGUGCAUGGCAGAAGAAGAGGAAAUAAGACCUACUCUAGCAAGUAGCCUUGAAAAAAACACAGAUGACAAGAACCUGGUUCCUUAUAAACACUUGCACGGGGAUAAACAAGUUUACUACUGAGAACAGCAGGGACGUUCUUGAACGGAGGUCAGAAGACCGGCAGGACUCAACUUUAAAGGUCAACAGACUUGGUUGUUAUCACCAGUACAGUUCCCACUUCAUCGGGUCCUGGGUCUGAAUGGCCCCAGCGCCUGCUCAGGGGGGUCCAGCAGCAGCACCCAGGAGACGCUCAUAGGACCCGUGCCACAGGGGCAGACAUUCGGAUCCCAGGGACGGCGUGGACCGGUCACUCGUACUCACGGAGGAGCCAGCAGGCGUGCGAGAGUGUGCUGUAUUUCAGAGGUGGUCCGACAACAUGUCCUAGAGGAAUGGAAGGACUGUCACCUAACGCGGCUUCAACCGUGACAUUUCACUGCACUUUCAGCAAGUUCGUCCGCCAGGUCUGGGCACGUCUGCCUCCCUUCACAGGACAAUUUCCCACCACCGGUCUGGAAUGAAUAAGGCAACACAGUAAGCUGAAUACAUCAUUGGUGGAGAACAGACGCGGGCGUGCGCCUUCUGUGAAAUCCAGGCCCUGCUCUGCCUCAGCCGUGUGAGGACGAUUAGGGUCAGCAGAACUCAUCCAUCGCGGAUGCAACAGAUACGAGCCCCACACGCUAUGCCAAUGACACCGAGGCACGUAAACCAUAUCUUAAGUUUCCCAGGGUGCGCAUGCGUGAUGGAACACUGAAGCACCUUGUAAGCCAAAUGCCCCCGAACCAGAGAUGGCUAAAAGCUGAGCAGGGAAGUCGGGCAUCCCGGAGACAGACAACCCAGAAUGAGCAGGCUUGUAAAGAAGCAGGCCACGGGGCCACGGGGGGUGGCACAGGGCUGCUGGGGGAGGUGGGAGGCCUGGGGAGUGCACGGGGUCCAGGGCAGAGGCCUCACCCCUGCACAGCACUAGCUGGGCUCCUUCCCCCGUGGGGUGGCUCCGCUCACCAGGAGCCCCGUGGUGUCAUUGUCUGCACACAGUUCGGGGCCUUGAGCAGACGUUUUGCCGUGGGAAACCUGUCUGUGCACGCCUAAGUCCCCUAGUCAUACGGAGGAGCCCUUCAGGGCAAGGACUACACCCAUGUUAUCUCGGUGUCCCUAGAAACCCAGAGCCCAGCUUUCCGCACAUCACAGUCAAUGGAUUUUUAAAAAACUGAUCAUGCAUUUGCCGUAUUUGGGAAGCCUGCAACAUAGCUCUGUACUUUCUGCUUUCGUAGCAAGUUUAGCAAAAAUGUUAGGUUUCAACCA